rnacentral:tRNA from 1 species
GGAGAGGUGGCAGAGUGGCCGAAUGCGGCGGUCUCGAAAACCGUUUACCCUUCGGGGUACGUGAGUUCGAAUCUCACCCUCUCCG